GACCCGGAUGGUAGACCUCGUAGUGGUUACCGAGCACGACUACACAGCACACAUCUAAGCUGGGUAUACAGUGCAGACAUUAAUUUUUACUUUCCUUCUGCACGAUCUUUAAAGUUCGCGCACGCACCUGUAGUUUUAAAAAUUCAGUGGCUGCGCCGGCCACCCUUUUUAAAGUUCGGUAGGAUAAAUUGGGUGCUAGGCCUGAGUAGAUUGGGAUUAGGGGUAAGAGAGACGGGGGAGUCGACGCUGCUGACGGGCGACGACUAAGACCGCUAAGACUACCGAUAGGGGCUGCUACUCGUGUGGUGCCUAGAGGGGAGUGAGCCCACGUAGGAGGGGAGGCCGUUCUAAAAGGGGAGAGUCGGAGAUGGUGAGCGGGUUUUGUGUGUGGGCUAGAUCCCAAAGCAGGAGGCUGUAUCGGAAGUAGCAGCCGCGUAGAGACCGCAGGAGAUCGCCGAGAAGAGGUAGUAGACAUCGCGGUGGACUGCGCGAGAGUGGAGGAUUACCAGGUGGAGCUCGACCCGCCGCCCCUCCUUGAGGAGAGUACCCUAGGUGCCUGCGCCACGUGGGACGUCGGUAACCAGGCUCUGCUCCCGACCGUGGUGCCGAACAGAACCAGCUGCUGCCAACGCCACUUAUAGCUACGACGAGGAGUAGGCGUUUGAGGAUCCUGCUCACGGUCAUGUCGUAUUCGUGCGGGGCGGGGACUUGUUACCGGAACCGCGAUCCUACGGGAGGAGGAGUUUCUUAGGUAGGGGCUACUCGAGGGAAGCGGCCUCCACCUCGUUGUUCAGGUUGUGGACGAUCGGAGAACACAGGAUAGCGCGUACCUGUUAGAGUGGUUACCAACGUAGAAGGAAGGGAGGAUGGCACCACUGGAAUAGGGGAGAGGGGUGAAAUUGGGGUUUAGACCUACUGUGAACGUUAGACUUAUUUUUAGUACAAAACGAAGUCAAAUCUCCACCUAAGUCAAAGACUCUACUUGCAGACUCGAACUAAUCAACACUACCAAAACGCCCAGACUAAGAGAACGUGAUAAUGUGUAUUAAAUUAAUCCCGUUCGAUUACGAUUAGAUCUAUUAUAUUACAAUGUACGUGUCCUCGAGGGGAGAGCACUAAAAAUAAAGGAAAAUACACUAGUACGUCUUUUUCUUACAUAGAUACGCAUCAUUUAUAGGUCGUACUAAAACAAUUUCGGAACCUACAUAUUAUCCGGUUUCGUUCCUGACACGGCCUAACUCGUCACAUUACCUUAACAUUGAGGUUCGAUAACACCGUACAGUAGACGGAAGUUUUGUUUUAAUACACUCGUAAAGGAACAAGGUGUGUGAGGAGAAUUAAACGUGGCUAAACUAAGUUGACACACAUGUCUUUUAUGUGGAACGAAAAAACAACAUGACAAAAACAAAGUUUAAACGAUCUGAUUUAUGUACGUGUUUAUAGUUACGAUCUGAACGGGUCUAACAAAAUACUAUUGACGUAUGGUUAUCUAAUACUAGAACUCAACAAUGAAUAAACUAUUUCCAGCCCCAUUAGUGUAGAUAUUGAAUGAUACUAAUGAUCGUCGAGUGGUGUCCAUUGGUCCGACGUAAUAAACGGAAUCAAUGAACGUUUUAUACACCACGUUACUAGAAUCAAUACUCCAACACUCUACAAUAGGUUCUAAUCGAUGUAGUCGGCGCUCAUAACGUCGUAAACGCUAUUUAACCGAGACAGUACAUUUUAUUAUGUGGGAUGAGAACAUUGAAAGUUGUCUUACCUUUGAUAUAUUCUUAAUGUUUUUCACAAAAGUUAAGUCUCACGAGAUUACUGUUACAAGGAGGAUUAAGUAAGAUACCUAUACUUCUUCUUAUUACUAGAUAAUCAUUUUUUUUCAACCGUUACGAGGAUUUUACAUAAACAGGGACAACGUUGCGUACCCGUUAAUGGAUCAAUUCUACUUUUUCUCAAACAAAGGAAAGACAAAACUACAAAAGGAAAUAAUGGUCUUAUUUUUCAUAACGAAUACAAUAAAUAAAGAAUGUCACCCAUGCUUUCACGGAGAAGAACUGAAUGAAAAAUAUGAAAAGUCUCAAAGUGUAUGAAAUAUAAAGUCUCGUGAACUCUCUGACGUAGCAUCCUUUAAGUCUUACGAAAGUAUCUCACUAAGUCCAAAUCACAUCACUUAUCGGACCUUGAAGUACAGUUUAUUAGUUUCACCUCAUAUUAUGGUUGAGGUAACUAUAUACAUACGAGUAGUAAGGAAAAACAAGGGUAGCCAACAAAGAAAAGUGUACUAACUAAAACAACGUGAUGAAACGUAGUACCCUCACUUUUUUUAUAUCCUGAACUAUUACACAUGAGGGAAGGAAGGAUUUAUAUUCAGAAAAUCUUUAAAAUUAUACCUGGUGUAUGCCUUUUUUUACUCACUUGGAUGUGAAGUUUUAUACCGAUAUAAGUAAGUAUACAUGAGGUAUAAAUUUAGAGAAUUUUCUGAAUAUAAAUCCUUGCUUCCCUCAUCAUUCAAUGAAGAUCAAAUUGGAUGAUCGACAUUAUAAAAUAUAACACUGUAUAAAAAGUAGUACACCGCCUAUAACAAAAUACCCUCGUAGAAGUUGUUGCUUCUGUACACAAGAGUUCUGAAACCACACCUACCCACCUGGAUUACCGAUCCUUACACCCUACUGGGCACUAACUACAGACUGCUCGUAACCCGGAACGAACUACCCCGGUCACGACUAACAUCUCAUCGUAUCACAGCAAGCUCUAUACGAACAUUUUAAUUUUUUUAACCAGUAAAAAAAGAGUACAUGUACAUAAAAUAUCACACAAAUGUAUAAAAACAAAAAAGUUACUAUACUCGUGUAUAAAAACAGUUUAAUAAUAAACGAAUUUAAAGGUACCUGUUCUCUUU
rnacentral:rRNA from 1 species